rnacentral:rRNA from 1 species
AAUGAACGCUGGCGGCGCGCCUAAUACAUGCAAGUCGAGCGAGAAGACGUAGCAAUACGUUUGUAAAGCGGCGAACGGGUGAGGAAUGCAUGGGUAACCCUACCCUCGAGUGGGGAAUAACUAGCCGAAAGGUUAGCUAAUACCGCGUACGCUCCUUGGACUUCGGUUCAGGGAGGAAAGCGAUACCGUGGGUAUCGCGCUCUUGGUUGGGCUCAUGUCCUAUCAGCUUGUUGGUGAGGUAACGGCUCACCAAGGCUUCGACGGGUAGCUGGUCUGAGAGGACGAUCAGCCACACUGGCACUGCGACACGGGCCAGACUCCUACGGGAGGCAGCAGUAAGGAAUAUUGCGCAAUGGGCGAAAGCCUGACGCAGCGACGCCGCGUGGGGGAUGAAGGUCUUCGG